rnacentral:lncRNA from 1 species
ACCUCAUAGUUCAGCAAAUAACACAAGCAUUAGGAUCUUCCUCUGCGCUUCUAACAUGAUAAUAAGUUGUCAUGUGAGGAUUAUAAGCCUGGUAAGCCUUGACAAGGUCGGCCACAUCAUCCUUUUUAGGCUCAUCUUUCUUCUUAUCGUCCUUCUUUGCCUCCUCUUUCUUGGGCUCCUCCUUCUUCUUCUCAGGCUCUUUUGCAGGCCCCACAGACAGUAUCUCUGUGUGACACAGCUUCCUCAGCUUGCUCACUAUACUCACCGGAUCAAUGUCCCCAAUCACCGUCAGUUUCUUCUCCUUCAUGUCCAUUGAAAU